rfam:Actinoplanes regularis strain DSM 43151 genome assembly, contig: Ga0170398_157
CUUGAGCGAACCCAGCCACAACGGCUCCCCACCGGCCCGGUCCUGCCCGUAGGUCGCCAGCAGCGCCUGCGCCUC